rnacentral:rRNA from 1 species
ACCACCUAUAAUCGUUUUAAUCGAUGGGGGGACGCAGUAGGAUAGGCGAAGCGUGCGAUUGGAUUGCACGUCUAAGCAGUAAGGCUGAGUAUUAGGCAAAUCCGGUACUCGUUAAGGCUGAGCUGUGAUGGGGAGAAGACAUUGUGUCUUCGAGUCGUUGAUUUCACACUGCCGAGAAAAGCCUCUAGAUAGAAAAUAGGUGCCCGUACCGCAAACCGACACAGGUAGUCAAGAUGAGAAUUCUAAGGUGAGCGAGCGAACUCUCGUUAAGGAACUCGGCAAAAUGACCCCGUAACUUCGGGAGAAGGGGUGCUCUUUAGGGUUAACGCCCAGAAGAGCCGCAGUGAAUAGGCCCAAGCGACUGUUUAUCAAAAACACAGGUCUCUGCUAAACCGUAAGGUGAUGUAUAGGGGCUGACGCCUGCCCGGUGCUGGAAGGUUAAGAGGAGUGGUUAGCUUCUGCGAAGCUACGAAUCGAAGCCCCAGUAAACGGCGGCCGUAACUAUAACGGUCCUAAGGUAGCGAAAUUCCUUGUCGGGUAAGUUCCGACCCGCACGAAAGGCGUAACGAUUUGGGCACUGUCUCAACGAGAGACUCGGUGAAAUCAUAGUACCUGUGAAGAUGCAGGUUACCCGCGACAGGACGGAAAGACCCCGUGGAGCUUUACUGUAGCCUGAUAUUGAAAUUCGGCACAGCUUGUACAGGAUAGGUAGGAGCCUUUGAAACGUGAGCGCUAGCUUACGUGGAGGCGCUGGUGGGAUACUACCCUAGCUGUGUUGGCUUUCUAACCCGCACCACUUAUCGUGGUGGGAGACAGUGUCAGGCGGGCAGUUUGACUGGGGCGGUCGCCUCCUAAAAGGUAACGGAGGCGCUCAAAGGUUCCCUCAGAAUGGUUGGAAAUCAUUCAUAGAGUGUAAAGGCAUAAGGGAGCUUGACUGCGAGACCUACAAGUCGAGCAGGGUCGAAAGACGGACUUAGUGAUCCGGUGGUUCCGCAUGGAAGGGCCAUCGCUCAACGGAUAAAAGCUACCCCGGGGAUAACAGGCUUAUCUCCCCCAAGAGUUCACAUCGACGGGGAGGUUUGGCACCUCGAUGUCGGCUCAUCGCAUCCUGGGGCUGUAGUCGGUCCCAAGGGUUGGGCUGUUCGCCCAUUAAAGCGGUACGCGAGCUGGGUUCAGAACGUCGUGAGACAGUUCGGUCCCUAUCCGUCGUGGGCGUAGGAAAUUUGAGAGGAGCUGUCCUUAGUACGAGAGGACCGGGAUGGACAUACCUCUGGUGUACCAGUUGUCGUGCCAACGGCAUAGCUGGGUAGCUAUGUGUGGACGGGAUAAGUGCUGAAAGCAUCUAAGCAUGAAGCCCCCCUCAAGAUGAGAUUUCCCAACUUCGGUUAUAAGAUCCCUCAAAGAUGAUGAGGUUAAUAGGUUCGAGGUGGAAGCAUGGUGACAUGUGGAGCUGACGAAUACUAAUCGAUCGAAGACUUAAUCAA